rnacentral:hammerhead_ribozyme from 1 species
AUUCAGCUGAUGAGUCCCGAAUAGGACGAAACGCGCCGCAUCCUGGAU